CCUUGUUCAAGUUGUAAGGUAGGAUCAUUUUUGUGUUGUGCAUUUGAGUGAUCUUUUUGGCCACAACUUGCACUGGUUAAGGGUGGCUGCACAACUAACUUAAGAGCGAUGGGUGUUUGCAAAUUUGGGAACUGAGCAUCAUGUUGGAAGUCGGAGACCAACAUGCAAAGAAAACUUUUUAAUCUUGUCACUGGAUUUAUGAGAGCAGCGCAUAGCCUGCAUUCUGAAGGGCAAAUGAAAUCCAAAAUUGUGCUACUUGGUAACACAAGGAAACUUUUUGUAAUUUUUCUGUGGUGAUUUCCUUCUUGUUAUUCUUUAUCACCAUCACAGGUUAUUCCUUUUUUCGAAUGAGUAGAUUACUUUUUCCAAAAUUUCAAACUGUCUUAUUUGUUGGGAUUGCUCCAUUCAACUCCAAUCCUGUGAGAACUACGUUUAGUUUCAAUUUGAAAUGAAUAUUUUGGUCCCCAUAUUUUAAACACUUUUUGUUGAAAAAUCAUCUUUAAAUCAGGACUCUUAGCUCAACCUUUUAAAGCAGAUGCUUG
rnacentral:misc_RNA from 1 species